AUUGAACGCUGGCGGCAUGCUUUACACAUGCAAGUCGAACGGUAACAGGGAGCUUGCUCCGCUGACGAGUGCCGAACGGGUGAGUAAUGCGUCGGAACGUGCCGAGUAGUGGGGGAUAACGCAUCGAAAGGUGUGCUAAUACCGCAUACGAACUGAGGUUGAAAGUGGGGGACCUUCGGGCCUCACGCUAUUCGAGCGGCCGACGUCAGAUUAGCGAGUUGGUGAGGUAAUGGCUCACCAAGGCGACGAUCAGUAGCGGGUAUGAAAGGAUCAUCCGCCACACUGGGACUGAGACACGGCCCAGACUCCUACGGGAGGCAGCAGUGGGGAAUUUUGGACAAUGGGCGCAAGCCUGAUCCAGCCAUGCCGCGUGUCUGAAGAAGGCCUUCGUGUUGUAAAGGACUUUUGUCCGGGAGCAAAUGCUGGUGGCUAACAUCCACCGGAGCUGAGAGUACCGGAAGAAUAAGCACCGGCUAACUACGUGCCAGCAGCCGCCGUAACAC
rnacentral:rRNA from 1 species